CGUGUUACAACAAGGAACAAAGGACAAAGCUACAGAAAGGACAAAAAUUAAAUGCUACCUUGACAGAGUUUUCUUUUCCCAAUUACUGACAUUGUGACCUAGUUUUUGCAACAUUAUUACAUUAAUAGAUUUAACAUUUCAGGUUCAUUUAAUGUUCUUGUCAGGAAAAUAUUGCCUGCACUGUCGGCCUUCUCAGUCAGAGACAUCAAUUCAGAAUGGGUAAACAAAAUAAAAGAAAGCCUGGUAAUACAACCAACAACACCGGUGACAAGAAUUCCUGUUCUUGUUGACAGACACGAGGUGGAAUCCACAGACUCUUUCAAGGAAGAGAUGCUUUCUUCAGUAAACUUGUAUGCACUGGGAGGAAAUCACCUCGUUCAAGCUAUGAAGAUGGUACUUGAUCAGAAUCCUGGAAACGAUAAUUACAGCUGUUUAAGGGCCAUAGAAGUUGAAGUUUUCUGUGGAUUAACAAAUCUGGAGGCGAGAUUUGUGGAAGUGUCCCAAACAAAAAGUGCAACACCUUAAAACCAACUUUUC